CCUACGGGAGGCAGCAGUGGGGAAUAUUGGACAAUGGGGGAAACCCUGAUCCAGCGACGCCGCGUGAGUGAAGAAGUAUUUCGGUACGUAAAGCUCUAUCAGCCGGAAAGAAAAUGACGGUACCUGACUAAGAAGCCCCGGCUAACUACGUGCCAGUCGCCGCGGGCAUCCGUAGGGUGAAAGCGUUAUCCGGAUUUACGGGGUGUAAAGGCAGCGUAGACGGAAGCGCAAGUCUGGAGGGAAAUGCCGGGGCACAACCCCGGAACUGCUCUGGAACCUGUGAAGCUGGAGUGCAGGAGAGGUAAGCGGAAUUCCUAGUGUAGCGGUGAAAUGAGUAGAUAGCAGGAGGAACACCGGCGGCGAAGGCGGCUUACUGGACUGUAACUGACGUUGAGGCUCGAAGGCGUGGGGAGCAAACAGGAGUAGAUACCCGAGUAGUC
rnacentral:rRNA from 1 species